rnacentral:rRNA from 1 species
CCUACGGGUGGCAGCAGUGAGGAAUAUUGGUCAAUGGACGCGAGUCUGAACCAGCCAAGUAGCGUGAAGGAUGACUGCCCUAUGGGUUGUAAACUUCUUUUAUAUGGGAAUAAAGUGGUCCACGUGUGGAUUUUUGUAUGUACCAUAUGAAUAAGGAUCGGCUAACUCCGUGCCAGCAGCCGCGGUAAUACGGAGGAUCCGAGCGUUAUCCGGAUUUAUUGGGUUUAAAGGGAGCGUAGGCGGAUUGUUAAGUCAGUUGUGAAAGUUUGCGGCUCAACCGUAAAAUUGCAGUUGAUACUGGCAGUCUUGAGUGCAGUAGAGGUGGGCGGAAUUCGUGGUGUAGCGGUGAAAUGCUUAGAUAUCACGAAGAACUCCGAUUGCGAAGGCAGCUCACUGGAGUGUAACUGACGCUGAUGCUCGAAAGUGUGGGUAUCAAACAG